CCUACGGGUGGCAGCAGUGGGGAAUAUUGCACAAUGGGGGAAACCCUGAUGCAGCGACGCCGCGUGAGUGAAGAAGUAUCUCGGUACGUAAAGCUCUAUCAGCAGGGAAGAAAAUGACGGUACCUGAUUAAGAAGCCCCGGCUAACUACGUGCCAUCAGCCGCGGUAAUACGUAGGGGGCAAGCGUUAUCCGGAUUUACUGGGUGUAAAGGGGGCGUAGACGGUGAUGCAAGUCAGAAGUGAAAGCCCGGGGCUCAACGCCGGGACUGCUUUUGAAACUGGGUGACUGGAGUGCAGGAGAGGUAAGCGGAAUUCCUGGUGUAGCGGUGAAAUGCGUAGAUAUCAGGAGGAACACCAGUGGCGAAGGCGGCUUACUGGACUGUAACUGACGUUGAGGCUCGAAAGCGUGGGGAGCAAACAGGAUUAGAUACCCCUGUAGUC
rnacentral:rRNA from 1 species